GCAGUAGGAUAGGCGAAGCGUGCGAUUGGAUUGCACGUCUAAGCAGUAAGGCUGAGUAUUAGGCAAAUCCGGUACUCGUUAAGGCUGAGCUGUGAUGGGGAGAAGACAUUGUGUCUUCGAGUCGUUGAUUUCACACUGCCGAGAAAAGCCUCUAGAUAGAAAAUAGGUGCCCGUACCGCAAACCGACACAGGUAGUCAAGAUGAGAAUUCUAAGGUGAGCGAGCGAACUCUCGUUAAGGAACUCGGCAAAAUGACCCCGUAACUUCGGGAGAAGGGGUGCUCUUUAGGGUUAACGCCCAGAAGAGCCGCAGUGAAUAGGCCCAAGCGACUGUUUAUCAAAAACACAGGUCUCUGCUAAACCGUAAGGUGAUGUAUAGGGGCUGACGCCUGCCCGGUGCUGGAAGGUUAAGAGGAGUGGUUAGCUUCUGCGAAGCUACGAAUCGAAGCCCCAGUAAACGGCGGCCGUAACUAUAACGGUCCUAAGGUAGCGAAAUUCCUUGUCGGGUAAGUUCCGACCCGCACGAAAGGCGUAACGAUUUGGGCACUGUCUCAACGAGAGACUCGGUGAAAUCAUAGUACCUGUGAAGAUGCAGGUUACCCGCGACAGGACGGAAAGACCCCGUGGAGCUUUACUGUAGCCUGAUAUUGAAAUUCGGCACAGCUUGUACAGGAUAGGUA
rnacentral:rRNA from 1 species